GAGCAGGAUGCACUAUAUAGAGAAUGCAAUGGGAUUUCAAAACUUUUGUCACGAGGUUUUCCUCUUGCAUCAUUGCAGGAUGUGCAAAUGGAGGGAGAACAAAAUCGAAAAGGUGAUCAGAGUUGAUCUUGGUCAACGGCGGAUCGGGACUAGACUCAAGAAGGAGUUGAGGUCCAGAACGAUCAAGGAUGCCGGGUGACAAGAUUGGACAUAAGGUUGUACACGGUGGACGGACACCGUGUGAGGAGGUCUUCACAACGGGCUUCGUAAGGUCAAGUGCAAGUGCCAGAAUCCGUGAAGAAAAUUGGAAUAGAGAAAGAUGUGCAGCAUGUAUGUGUGUCAUGAUCAAUAUGCACAUGCAUGGCUCGGUGGUGCAGCCAAGGCAUGCAUGCAUAUGUGUGCAUGUGGGCUAGCAGCUUGGUUGGUAGGGAGGCCAAACCAAUCUGGCCCAGGCACGUGGCUGGCCCAAGAUUGCUCUCGGCUGGCAGGGAGGCUAAGCCGAGCAGGCCAUGAAGGCGCGGGCGCACGGCCCAAAGGCGGAGGUAGCAACGUGCGCGGCUGGAGCGCAGGAACCGUACGUACUAGGUCCCACGCGGUUUUCGCAAGGCGCGGGCGGGAACGUGGUUUUCACGAAGCGCACGCGGGAGCGGCUCAGGCUGGACACGCGACGGCUCUGGAUUCGCAUGGACGGAUGGAGAGCGGAUCAAGACGAGCGCGCGUGGCACGGCCGGCGACGUGGCGAGCUUUGAUUCAUCAAGAUGGAGAGCACGCGGAUUGAUCUGCAUGUGAGGCUUCGGAUCGAUGAGGUGGCAAACAUCUAGAGCUUUUCCUUGAGGAGAAGGAACAAUGGAUGGACCAGAUCUGUUCUGAGUUAGGGUUUCGCCUUAGGGGUAUUUGAGACAAUGUCUUAGGAGUUUUAGGCUAUAAAUAGAGAGAUGAUUGCAAGGGUGCAGGUUGUUCUUUUUGUAAUCCUUUUGAGAUGCUCGGUGAGAGAGUUUCGGUGUGAGUUUGGAGUGUGUUUGCCCGAGAGGCUUUUGUAUUAGGAUUAGUUUGGAGUGUGUUUGUCCGAGAGAUUUUAAGUUUGUGUUAAUGUUCCUCUGAAGGUGUAUGUUUGCUCCUAGUUGAGUGGUUAUUUUGCAUCACCUAUGAAUAAAAUGAUUUGAAGGGUUUCGUUUUU